rnacentral:rRNA from 1 species
GACGAACGCUGGCGGCGUGCUUAACACAUGCAAGUCGAACGGAAAGGCCUGCUUUCCCUUGUGGAUUGCGGGUACUCGAGUGGCGAACGGGUGAGUAACACGUGAGUGAUCUGCCCCCAACUUGGGUAUAAGCCUGGGAAACUGGGUCUAAUUCCCGAUAGGACUGCAGGGUGGUGCCUGUGGUGGAAAACGAUUUUCUAGUGGUUGGGGAUGAGCUCGCGGCCUAUCAGCUUGUUGGUGGGGUAAUGGCCUACCAAGGCGGCGACGGGUAGCCGGCCUGGGAGAGUGGACGGCCACAUUGGGACUGAGAUACGGCCCAGACUCCUACGGGAGGCAGCAGUGGGGAAUAUUGCGCAAUGGGCGGAAGCCUGAUGCAGCGACGCCGCGUGGGGGAUGACGGCCUUCGGGUUGUAAACUCCUUUCGACCGCGAGGAAGCCACCUGGUUGGAAGGGUGGUGACGGUAGUGGUAGAAGAAGCACCGGCUAACUACGUG